rnacentral:rRNA from 1 species
GAUGAACGCUGGCGGCGUGCCUAAUACAUGCAAGUCGAGCGAACAGACGAGGAGCUUGCUCCUCUGACGUUAGCGGCGGACGGGUGAGUAACACGUGGAUAACCUACCUAUAAGACUGGGAUAACUUCGGGAAACCGGAGCUAAUACCGGAUAAUAUAUUGAACCGCAUGGUUCAAUAGUGAAAGACGGUUUUGCUGUCACUUAUAGAUGGAUCCGCGCCGCAUUAGCUAGUUGGUAAGGUAACGGCUUACCAAGGCAACGAUGCGUAGCCGACCUGAGAGGGCGAUCGGCCACACUGGAACUGAGACACGGUCCAGACUCCUACGGGAGGCAGCAGUAGGGAAUCUUCCGCAAUGGGCGAAAGCCUGACGGAGCAACGCCGCGUGAGUGAUGAAGGUCUUCGGAUCGUAAAACUCUGUUAUUAGGGAAGAACAAAUGUGUAAGUAACUAUGCACGUCUUGACGGUACCUAAUCAGAAAGCCACGGCUAACUACGUGCCAGCCGCCGCGGUAA